GAGUUUGAUCGUGGCUCAGAAUCAACGCUGGCGGCGUGCCUAACACAUGCAAGUCGAACGCGAGAGGGGCUUCGGCCCUGAUUGAGUGGCGAACGGGGUGAGUAACACGUGGGUGAUCUACCUUUGAGUGGGGGAUAACGUUCCGAAAGGAACGCUAAUACCGCAUGACGUUCUGGGUUUGAAGACCUGGAAACCAAAGCCGGGGACCGCAAGGCCUGGCGCUUGGAGAGGAGCCCGCGCCUGAUUAGCUAGUUGGUGAGGUAACGGCUCACCAAGGCUACGAUCAGUAGCCGGCCUGAGAGGGCGGACGGCCACACUGGGACUGAGACACGGCCCAGACUCCUACGGGAGGCAGCAGUGGGGAAUUGUUCGCAAUGGGCGCAAGCCUGACGACGCAACGCCGCGUGGAGGAUGAAGGUCUUCGGAUUGUAAACUCCUGUUGACCGGGAAGAAUGAGCAUCGACUUAAUACGUCGGAGCAGUGACGGUACCGGUUGAGGAAGCCACGGCUAACUCUGUGCCAGCCGCCGCCGUAAAACC
rnacentral:rRNA from 1 species